CGGGAAACUGGGGAUAAUACCCGAUAGAUCUCGGAGGCUGGAAUGCAUCGAGAUCUAAAGCUCCGGCGCCCGAGGAUGGAUCUGCGGCCUAUCAGGUAGUAGUGGGUGUAGCGUACCUACUAGCCUACGACGGGUACGGGUUGUGAGAGCAAGAGCCCGGAGAUGGAUUCUGAGACACGAAUCCAGGCCCUACGGGGUGCAGCAGGCGCGAAAACUUUACAAUGCUGGCAACAGCGAUAAGGGGACCUCGAGUGCCAGGUUACAAAUCUGGCUGUCGAGAUGCCUAAAAAGCAUUUCAUAGCAAGGGCCGGGCAAGACCGGUGCCAGCCGCCGCGGUAACA
rnacentral:rRNA from 1 species